AUUGAACGCUGGCGGCAGGCCUAACACAUGCAAGUCGAGCGAGCGGCGGACGGGUGAGUAAUGUGUGGGAAACUGCUUGAUGGAGGGGGAUAACUACUGGAAACGGUAGCUAAUCCCGCAUACCAUCAGAUGUUCCCAGAUGGUAUUAGCUAGUCGGUUGGGUAAUGGCUAACCUAGCGGACGAUCCCUAGCUGGUCUGAGAGGAUGACCAGCGACACUGGAACUGAGACACGGUCCAGACUCCUACGGGAGGCAGCAGUGGGGAAUAGUGCACAAUGGGCGCAAGCCUGAUGCAGCCAUGCCGCGGGUGUGAAGAAGGCCUUCGGGUUGUAAAGCACUUUCAGCGAGGAGGCGUUACUCGCAGAAGAAGCACCGGCUAACUCCGUGCCAGCAGCCGCGGUAAUAC
rnacentral:rRNA from 1 species